UCAGAAUGGAUAUCAGGAGAAAAUUUUUCACAGAAAGGGUCUUGGGCACUUGCAGAGGCUGCCCGGGGAGGGGGUGGACUCCCCAUCCCUGGAGGUGUUUAAAAGAUGGGUAAACGAGGUGCUCAGGGACACGGUGUAGUGGCAGAUAGGAAUGGUUGGACUCGAUGAUCCAAGAGGUCUUUUCCAACCUGGUGAUUCUAUGACUGCUUGUGUGCCUCUGGCACAGCCUGGUCCUGGCAUGGUGUGGUGGGGACAAAAUGCGGAGUGGUGCCAGGGCUGGAGGUGUCCCCGCUGCAGCCGGAGAGCCCAGGCUGCCUCACGCCUUCCACACCUUCGCCACCUUCAUCACUGCCAGCCUCUCCUGGCACAUGUCAGUGCCCCCUAGGGUGGGUGCUGGGGGAGCAGGAUGGGUGCUGGGGGAGCAGGAUACAGCCACUUUCCCUCCCUCCCACCCACUCCCGUGCACAGAGGUCAUACGUGACAGUGGUUGUGGCUUCCCAGAUCCUUCCUCUCCCCCUCUGCUUGGGACUGUGGCUGUUUCAGAGCGCUGGAGCGAAGCAGGGGGCUUGGAGGGUCCUACUUGUGGGCACACACUGGUGGCAUUGGGGGCUGUUGAUGAGGUCUCAGAGGGUCCUAAUUGUGGGUACGUGCUGGAGGCUUUGGGGGCUGCUGGUGGGACCCCAUGUCUCUCAGGGCUGGGUCUUACAUGGACACCGUGGGGAACUGGGGCUCCCCAGAUUGCUCUGGAAAUCAUUUGACUGCCUGAGGGAGGGUUGCUGAAGAAAGAGCAGAAGGUAAGGUCUUCCUUCUUCCAUGGCCUCACCACGCUUCAGAGGGAGUUCAGCAUCAGGAACUGCAGAGCGGCCUCGGUGGUGGUCCCGCUGCUCUGCACGGCUCUGUCUAUUCUGUGGUGCAAAGCCCUGAGGUGGUAGUUUGGAAGUCCUGCAGCUGGCAGAUCUUUAGGAAAACACUUCCCCAAGCCCCUGAGUGACAUCGCAGGUCUGGGCUCCUCAUGGUCCAGCCCUGGCUCAGGGCAAGCUGGCCAAAAGUUGCCUGUAAACGUCACUUUCUGGCCCAAGCUCACAAGGUGAAGACGUAGCACUGCUCAUUUCAAGUAUUUUUUUUUCACUGCAGCACCUACACUUGUUGGAAGCUCAGUAUCCUCCAUGGCUGGAGCAUUACAAACCCUGGCUGCAGAGCUUUGCCAGAGCUGGAGACCCCAUCCUGGAGACGCAGAAGUGAUGCCAACUGCAAUGGCACAGGAGGGAGCUUGGCACCAUGGUGAUGGGAGCCAAGGGCACCAAAGCAAUGUGAUGACGAUGGGAGAUGGGAGCAAUGGACAGAGCUGGUCCUUUCCUCUUCCAGCCCUUGCCCAGGGAACCCUGCACUGGGAAACAGCAUCAUCUCCAUGGCAUGUCAUGGCCGGCCAAGGGGCUCAAUGAGGAAGAAAAACCUUGAAACCAAGGAAACAAGGGAGACAAAAAGGAAAAUGUCAGCUCCUACAAGGCAGAGUGAGCUGGCUCCGGCACCCUGGGAUGAAGGACACCAACAGGGAAGGGGCCAGGCUUGAUGGAGGGGACCCAGUGCAACAUGUGGGGACCCCUCUGUAACCGGAGCCAUGCGGGGGGCACUGGGGGCGCUUUGAAGAGUUCACAAAGGGUGAAAAACUUUGAAAUGCAGUUUCCUCUCCCCUCUCCGCCUCCCCCAGGGCUAAACAAAUACCCCGGCAGGGAGAUACCUUCCCAUCCCACAGGCUUUUGUUUCCACGCCUUUGUCCAAGGCUGGGGAAGGGGCCAGAACCCCCCAAGCCUCCCAAGGGACACCCAUGCGGACAGGGUCCUGCGCUGCCUGAGAUGCUGAGAGGGAAGCAGGAGGUGAUAACUGGCUGUGUGCCAUGCCACAGGGCUUGAGGACACCCCAUGAGCCACCUUGGUGGCCCUCAGUGGCUUCUAGAUGCUGUCCCCUCACCUGCCACCCCACUGCCACUUUUUGCCCAUCCCUGAGAGCAUCAUGGGAUGGGUCCUGGUCCGUUGUGUCCCCUCGUGGAACCCUGCCACCGGCACAGCCUGCAAGCUCUGCACAUGGACAAAGCCACCAGCUCAUGCUCACCACCAGGGAUCACCCCGAGAUUGCUGAUCUACACCCCGCACCUCUGGGACCCUGCAGGCAGAGCGGCUCAGGCCAUGUCCCCAUCACAGGGACCCAACAGAAAAAGCCUAAGAUAAAGAUCUGUGGGGUUUGCGAAGACCAGUGGCCCCAGGAACCCAUCAGGGGGGCUCUUCAUUUACAUCCCCAAAGUUGCUUUAAUUACACCCCCGGGGAGGGAGCCCUUCAGGGAGUUUCUUUGUGGGGCAAAAAUCUGGUGGAAAAAAACCCUUUGAACAGUCAAACAACCCCAAUGUGGAUGAGGGGACCCCAGCGCCAGCCUAAAACUGCCAACAACAACCUCGCUCUGUGCAAAAGAAAUGCCCAAAUUAACUCAAAGCAAAGGUGAGACUUGAAACGAACCUGUUGGUAACCAAACCCCAAUUUUGCCCGAAGCUCAAGUUUCUCUGGUGACCUCAUGUGUGAAGAAAAACAGGAUGGUUUGAAAUGUCCCCUGUUGUUCCAGCCUCACACUAGGAAUUACAAGAAAAUAAAUGCCCUUUUUUUUGUUGUUGUUGAAACUGUGAAAGUGUCUCUAGGAUGGGUGGAAACCAUUCGCUGCAGCAUUGCCUUUCCCUUUGUGUCCCCAUCCCUGUGGGGCCAGGCGGCGGAUGCUGGUCCAGCCUUUCUGUCCGGCUGUGGCCAGGGAUGUGCGGAGCCUUUUCAGACAACAAAAGCUCUCUGGCUGCCUAAUUUCCCACUGCCUUAUCUUAGGCUGUGAUGGCCAGGAGGUGGAAAGGUCCCCAAGACACCCUGACCCCAUUCUUGGCGACAGGGUGCCCUGUCAUUGGUGGGAGAUGGCUGUGUGUGGGGCCAAAAGCUUUACAGAGGGUGAAAGUGAGAGGCUGUCAGCACUUGGGGGUCCCAUCCUGCAUGGGGCAGGGCCCUUUUUCUGCUGCUUAUGUCUUCGUCGCAUGCAGUGGGAUGAGCAAAACCUCCUUGGGGAGCAGCUUUGGAGCCUGGGUGAGCACUGAAACCUCUGGUCGCCUCCUCGUCACCUCCAGCCCUGGGACAGCCCUGGGGAUGCUGAGCCCCGGUGGGGUGCGCAGGGGAGGCUGCGGGGCCGGCCAGCGGGGAGAGCAGCCCCGGAGCCGAGCGCUGUGCUUGUUACCCAGACAAGAGAUCAAUAACUAAUUUCGCUGCAGCAGCAGCGCCGGUUUUUUUCCAAUAAUUGUGAGCUGGCGGUGGGGAAUGAGGCUCUCAGCACCGCUCCACACCAGCCUGCACCCGAUCAAUCGCCACGCCGCUCGGGCAGCAGGAAAACUCAUUUUUCUCCUUUUCUUCCCUCUCUCCUGCCUCCUCCCCCUCCAUCCCUCCUUCUCCUCUUCCCUGUGUGGCACUGGCUAAGCAGAGCGCUGUGUCCCCACGUCAGGUGGAAAAUGAGUUUGGGCUUUCCCGAACUGUCCCCGUGGUGGUGGGAUGAUGACCGAGCCUCCCAUGCUGCCUCAACAGCCCUGAGCGCAUCGGUUCCAGCAGCUUGGAUGAAGAGGAGCGGCUUAUCCUUUGGGUCCUUUCCAACCUGGUGAUUCUAUGAUUCUAUGAUCCUCUUCAUGGGAUAUGGGGCUCCCAAGGGUGCCCUGGCUACUGGGCUGUGACUUUUGGUAGCCCUCUGCUGCCUUUAUGUGGUCCAAAUGUUUUUAUAGUGAUCCAGAGGGAAACCACGGGCUCCAUGUCCAGGGAAGAAGGUGUUGUUGUUGAUUCCCAGCUCACAGAGUAGUGCUUGGUUUGGGGUUCCCAGGCUGAUCUGUGGGGUUCUGUGCUCCAAGCAACCACAAGGCAGCAGGGAACAAUGCUCAGCAUCUCCCCAGGACCAAGAGAUGCUCAAACAAGGGUGUGAACUGGGGCGCCUCUAGAUCCCUUGGAUACUCCGGCAGGUUGUGGAUGAGGUGCUGCUCCUGGGCUUCGCAGCAAGGAAGGCUCAGCAGAGGGUUCAUCACUGCAGCAUUUUCCAAGCCCAUCCAAGCACCGUACACUCAGUGCAGAUGACGGCAGUGUGACCCCUCGUCCUUUCUCCCUAAUUUAAGACCCUGAUCCCUGGUUCCCCAAGAGCAUCCCCCAUGAAUUAAACACUGCCUUCGCCGCAGAGCGCCAAGCGCUGCCUGCAUAAUUUCAAAGUUUUAUUACUUGCCUUGAAGGCAAUUAUUGAUUGGGGUCCUCUCCAGCUGAUGGAGCUUUUAGUAUGGUCUGGGCUGGCCAAGCAAGGCUGAAGUCUCAGCCUGUCCAGUUUAGCUAAGCUGUGGCUUGAAACCUCCAUGGCAUGGGCACCAGGACAGCUCUGCUCCCAGGAGCAGAGUCUCCAUCUGCACUUCCACACCAGAGCUGUUUGCACUUUGAGACGCUUUUUGGGUUCUCAGUCUCAGCCCAAGAGCUGGUUCCCCCAAGACCAUAUCGCAAGCGGGGUUCAACCCAGACAAGGAUUUUCCUGGGAGGGUUUGAGGUGCUUUUAGGAAUCAAGAGGAGGGCAUUUCGGGGUGAUUCUGCCCUACUGAGACUCUAGGCAUCACUUUUCUUUGCCCUGGGGCAUGGAAAUGCAGAUGGGAUUUGGGGUUUAUGUGCAACUCCGUGGUGGAUGGGCUGUCAUCCACCCCUUCCCUUGGCUUUGGAGAAGAGCUGGAAGCAUCGCUUUUGCUUUCAGGUUCUCUCUGCCACUGCUGGAGGACUUUGAUGGCCACUGCACCAACUGGCUGCCGUGCUAGGAGGUGCGUGCACCCCAUAACCCAGGCAUUAUUCCGCCUCCAGAUGCCGGCACUGGUCUCCCCCUCUCUGUGUAGCCACCAGCAUUGGGUACCAGGCUCAGAGGGGGCUUUGCCCACCCCACCCCUUCCAAAGUGCUGAGUCUGGUGGGCAGGAACCCCAUCCCAGUAGCUGUUUGACCCCAGAGAAAACACAGCAGGUGGUGGUGAGUGUAGCCAAGCUGUGGUUCUGUGGCCACAGGACUGGCCACUUCCAACCUCUCCCAAAUUUUAUGCCUUCAGGGACCACCCCGCUCUCACUCCUGGCUCCCCCCAUCCCCGGGGGUCCUGGUGCAUGGCUGUGCUGAGGUUUGGGGGAGCAGAACGGAGGUGGUAGAGCCCCCACGGCUCCUUUAAGAAACCCACAACCGGCUCCAGGAACCAGCUCAAGGUCACAGCGGGAACCUGCGGACUUGGCAGCAGUGAGCGAGGGAGGAGGGAUGGAAGGAGGGAGGAAAGCAGCCCGAGAUCAAAAUGAAAUCACAGCCAGGGAGAGGGGACGGCUGGCGGCGCAGUGGAGGGGAGCGGGAAGGUGGGGUGCAGCAGAGUGGGAGGUGCAGGGGGUCCCACCUGUGGGUGAUCCCCUGGGAUUGCUGCAGCCACGACUCCAAUGUGGACCCUCAAAGCUUGGCUGUGUCCCCCAGCACAGAGCCCUGCACCCUCCUUGGUGUCAUCCAACGUGACCAUGGCUGUCCAAGCCAAGGAAGGUGCCCUCAUGCCCCCAGAGGUGUUCCGGGAAUGCUGGAGCCACGUCCCUCCCGUGGGACUUCCCAGGAGGUUUUCCAGCUCCGGCAGGAGCAGAGCAGAGGGAGCUGUGGCCGGGAGGGUCGGAUCCUGCAGCAGCAGUGGCAUGGCCCGCUCCCAAGCUCUUACCUUGUUUUCUUUUUCAAGCUGGUUUUCUUUUUCAAACAGCAGCUCCUGGAGUCCCAUCAUCACUGCCGAGUCUUUGCCCUCCUUCCAGGCCUGGGGGUACCUCUGGAGCUGUCCUUGCUGGAGAGAACGGGAGGGAAAAGUAAAUCUUUAAGGGCUUAAAAACCAGGAAGUUAAUAAUAAAUAAAUAAAAAGCCCUGAACAUUUCAUUCUUUUAAUAUUUGGCAUUGAAACUACUCUUAGGGUUUGGGGUGCUCUGGCUCGCCCCCUGGGCAGGUAAAGCCGGGGAAACCGAAGGCACCAGAGAUGAAGAUAAAACCAUGAGGCUCGCAGCCGGGUUAACCCAUGCCAUCCUGGCCCCAGGGGCCUGAUCCUGCCCCACAGGCUGCAGCACCUGUG